rnacentral:rRNA from 1 species
CCGUAGCCGAUGGACAACAGGUUGAUAUUCCUGUACUGCAGUAUGACAGAACUGUGGGGACACGUAAGGAGAGCGGGAGCCGGGAAUGGAAAGCCCGGUACAAGCGAGGUACCAGUCACAUAGGAAAAUCCGUGUGGCAAUGGGAAGACGUGAUGUGGAGUGAAUUUUAGUAACUAAGCCCCUCAGCCAUGCGUCAAGAAAAUCCGCUAUCGUUCAUAUUGUACCCGUACCGUAAACCGACACAGGUGGAUGAGGAGAGAAUCCUAAGGCCGGCGGAAGAAGUAUUGCCAAGGAACUCGGCAAAAUGGCCCCGUAACUUAGGGAGAAGGGGUGCCUGCGAGAGCAGGCCGCAGAGAAUAGGCUCAAGCAACUGUUUAGCAAAAACACAGGUCUAUGCGAAACCGAAAGGUGAGGUAUAUGGGCUGACGCCUGCCCGGUGCUGGAAGGUUAAGAGGAGAGGUUAGCGGUAACGCGAAGCUUUGAAUUUAAGCCCCAGUAAACGGCGGCCGUAACUAUAACGGUCCUAAGGUAGCGAAAUUCCUUGUCGGGUAAGUUCCGACCCGCACGAAAGGCGUAAUGAUUUGAGCGCUGUCUCGGCAAUACAUCCGGUGAAAUUGAAGUGCCAGUGAAGAUGCUGGCUACCCGCGCCAGGACGGAAAGACCCCAUGGAGCUUUACUCCAGUUUGGCACUGGGGUCCGGUGUUGCAUGUACAGGAUAGGUGGGAGGCUGAGAAACGGUAACGUCAGUUGCCGCGGAGCCGCUGUUGGGAUACCACCCUUGUGAUAUUGGGCUUCUAACCAGCCGCCGUAAUCCGGCGGUGGGACAAUGCCAGGCGGGGAGUUUGACUGGGGCGGUCGCCUCCGAAAGGGUAUCGGAGGCGCCCAAAGGUUCCCUCAGAAUGGACGGAAACCAUUCGAAGAGUGCAAAGGCAGAAGGGAGCUUGACUGCGACACCGACGGGUGGAGCAGGUACGAAAGUAGGGCUUAGUGAUCCGGUGGUAUUAAGUGGGAAUGCCAUCGCUCAACGGAUAAAAGCUACCCUGGGGAUAACAGGCUUAUCACUCCCAAGAGUUCACAUCGACGGAGUGGUUUGGCACCUCGAUGUCGGCUCAUCGCAUCCUGGGGCUGUAGUA